AUACGGAGGGUGCAAGCGUUGUUCGGAUUUACUGGGCGUAAAGCGCACGUAGGCGGACUGUCAAGUCGGGUGUGAAAACCAGUGGCUUAACCACUGGCCUGCACUCGAAACUGGUAGUCUUGAGUACCGGAGAGGAUGGCGGAAUUCCUGGUGUAGCGGUGAAAUGCGUAGAUAUCAGGAAGAACACCGGCGGCGAAGGCGGCCAUCUGGACGGAUACUGACGCUCAGGUGCGAAGGCUAGGGGAGCAAACAGGAUUAGAAACCCGGGUAGUCC
rnacentral:rRNA from 1 species